UACGUAGGGUGCGAGCGUUAAUCGGAAUUACUGGGCGUAAAGCGUGCGCAGGCGGUUCGUUAUGUCCGAUGUGAAAGCCCCGAGCUCAACUUGGGAAUGGCAUUGGAAACUGGCGGGCUGGAGUGUGGCAGAGGGGGGUGGAAUUCCACGUGUAGCAGUGAAAUGCGUAGAGAUGUGGAGGAACACCGAUGGCGAAGGCAGCCCCCUGGGCCAACACUGACGCUCAGGCACGAAAGCGUGGGUAGCAAACAGG
rnacentral:rRNA from 1 species